rnacentral:rRNA from 1 species
AGUCACUGACAUUAGUAUACCUCCUGUAGUCCAGGGUGUAAACGCUGCAGACUUGGUGUUGGAGGCCCUUUGGGGGCAUUCAGUGCCGGAGAGAAGUUGUUAAGUCUGCUACUUGGGAGUACGUCCGCAAGGAUGAAACUUAAAGGAAUUGGCGGGGGAGCACCGCAACGGGAGGAGCGUGCGGUUUAAUUGGAUUCAACACCGUAAAACUCACCAGGGAAGACUGUUACAUGAAGGCCGAGAUGAAGACUCUGCUAGAUUUUCAG